AAAUUGAUGACAACUCGCGUCCAUACUCUUCACCGAGAUUGAUGACUUUGUUCUGCAAUCCUGA
rfam:Tetrahymena thermophila SB210 genomic scaffold scf_8254564, whole genome shotgun sequence.